CACUUUUAGACAAUAAAAUUCUUCCAUCCUGCAGAUAACCUUGAUGUCUGCGGAUAAUGUCAACCCUACACGACCUGAGGAUUCAUCCAAUUUGUGUCCAACUAGUCAGUGCUGCUCUUCCCUGAAGCUGGAGUCUCAGCUGUCUCUCUUAUGGAUUAUGGGCAUAUGGAGGCCCAACUUGAGAUAUCCUAAGGGGCCAGUACUCAAAGCUGUUGGACAGCUGACUGCUUCAGAGGUGCCUGAGGAUGGGUGUGCACCUGUGUGCGUAAUGCAUGUGUGUCUGGAGACACUGAGCACACUGUGGUAGAUGGUGCACAAACAUUCAACCAGAGUAACUUGAAAGACUGCCUAAGACAACAAGAAUGCAGGGAAACGGCUUUGGCAAUGGACAGAUGAUGUUGAGCCAGAAGCACUGAACCUUGGGCUUCUGUUGCUCUUGCCCUCCCAUCUCAGUGCCUGAUUUCUGAGCUUCACUAAGGUACUCAGGGCUACCCAGCCGAACAAAUACCUGAGCCAGGCUCAGAGCUCAAAGGUAUUAUGGAUCUUCCUGUCAAACCUCCAGGGGACCAAACUAAAAUUCAAGCUAAAGGAUAUAUAAUGUACCUUACCACGAAGUUGAUUCAUUUUCAUGUCAACAAUCUCUACAUGCUUUUUCAAAAAUAAGUAGUUCAGUUUAAAGGGAAACCAAUUGGUAAUGCUUUACAAUCAAUAGUAACUAAAGCGACUGACUCAAAGGCAAUAGAAAACCAUCAAGGCUGUAGCAAUAGAAUGAAACAGGCUUUUAUGUAAGUAUAGCUGUGGCUAAUUUUGAAUGGAAAGCAUCAUAACCUUAUUGCAUGUUCUUCUAGUGUGCCAAGAAAGCUGUAUCAAUGCUGCUCCAGAUCACUCCGAACCAUACUGGAGCAGCCUUCAGUGUAGCAAAAGGACUGACAAAUGUGUUGAGGGAGAAAACACAGGUGAAAGGUGUUUCCAAGGCUGACAUAGAAGUAAAAACCUUGAUCUCUGAUGAAAAAAGAAAACCUGGCUGGAGCAUGGAGAUGUUUUUUUCACUGUACCUGUGACACACCAUUGCUAAUUUGAUCUACUCCUCCAGCAAAAUUUCUGAGUCAAAGAUGACACAGAAGUGUCUUGAGUUCAGCAUUUGCACUAGCAUUAAAUUAAAUCUAUCAAAGAUUCAUUUAGGAUACAAGCAUCCAAC
rnacentral:lncRNA from 1 species